CUCUGCCGGGGUCUGCAGCCCCAGGGAAGGUCGGGACUGCGGAGGCGCCGCUGGCCCGCUGGGAGGGGCAGCCGCCCAAGUCCCCCUCGCCCGGCCCGCGCAGGGCCUCGGGCCUCAUCCAGAGAGGAGCGCCCCAGAUCACGAUCCUCAAGCCCCGCCAGGGCUCCCGCCCCAGGGCAGCGCCCUGGACCUCCGCCCCGCGUCGGCGGUGCGAGACUAAGUUAAAGACGCUCCUAGGAGAAGAAGCAGGAGGUCGACUUCUGGGUCUGAGCGCUGGAUGCGGCGCGGUGGCCACAAGCAGCUCAGGAAACCGGUAAAGAGCCGCUUCCUGCUGCGGCAUGGGGCAAAGCAGUUAAGAGGCGGGAAAAGCUGCUUCCUGCCGCGACAGCGCAGAUCGUGGGGCAAAUUAGUUAAGAGGCGGGAACUGGGUCUAAAAGACGGGCUCCUUCCUUUCGGCAAGGAGAUAAAAUGGGAAAAUGAGACGCGCGGACACCCAAAAGGGUCCUGCUCCAGGAAUUAAAAUGUGAACAUUUGUGUUGUUGGCCCAGGACCGUCUCUCUCAUCUUACCUGACUACUCCACCCGGAACCAGCCUACUCCUGGGCCUCCUCCUGACCUCCUAGCGGCUGCCACCUCCAGAAGUCCUUCCACCCACCCACCCAGCCCACUCUUUCUCCAGCUUGUCUCAACAUCUUGUCUCCUGAGCACCUGUCACCUUGUUCCUGACCCCUCUACUUACCUAGGAGAGCCAGGAGACCAAACAGCAGGGUGACUUAGGCGCCCGAUGCAAGGACCAGCAUGGGCAAGCCAUGGAAGCAGAAGUAGGGCGUAGUUGGCUUCAUGGUGACUUGGCCACAGAAACAGGUUGUGUUAGGGUGACAAACGUCAAGUGCCAGACUACAGAAGACCCUGAAAUUUAAGCAGGAGAGGUAACAGUGCCCAGGUUGGCAAGGAGGAGACAGCCACAGAUUCUGUGAAAGGCAUGGGCCUCUUGAACAGUGUUUUUUGUUGUUUUGCUUUGUUUUGUGGUACUGGGGACCGAGUCUAGGGCCUUGCCCUGAACUACAAACCAGACCUUUUUACUUUUUGAGUCAGGGUCUCACUAAGCCACUGACUUGUCCAGGCUGGGCUCAAACCUUUAAUCCUCCUGUCUCAGCCUCCCAGAGCACUGAGAUUACAGGCAUGUGCCACCAUACCAGCUCUGAUGAUGUUUUUAGAAAACUCAACACCAUGUGCAGACUGGAUUAAUCCACCAAGAAAAAGGAGCUCCAGAGCAUCACCAGUGCCAUGUGGAGGAAAUGUAAUCUGCUCAGAUCCACGUGGUAAACUGAGGCAGCACAGAGCCUUUUUACUCUGGGUUGAAGCCAAAAAGAAGAAAUGGUGUGGGCUGGCGAUUUGGCUCAGUGGUUCCGCCGCCUGCCUCACGAGUGCAAGGUCCCGAGUUUGAUCCUCGGUACCAAAAAAAAGAAGAAGAAAAAGAAGAAAUGGUGAGAGCCAGUCAGGCGGGGAAACAUCCAGAAGGUUGGUAACUCCCAGUGUUGGAAAGAGCAUGGGGAAAUGAACACUGUUUGGUUUGGUUUGGUUUUGAAGAUAGUUUAGCAGAAUCUGUCAAAGUUUAAAAUACAUGUAUCAGUUUGACCCAACACAUCUGAUAGGAUUCUCCCUAUAGAAGCACCCAUACUUGGAUGGAGAAAAGCUACCCUUUUAACUAUAUUGUAGUAUUUUCAUGUCACUUAAUGUUUUGGCUUAGUUUUGAGGUUCUUUAGUUUGUUACUGGGAAUCAAACACAGGGCCUUGGGCAUGAUAGGUAAGUGCUCUACCACUAAGAUACAUCCCCAGCCCUAGAAUUUUUAUUUUUAUACUUAUUAAAAUAGCUUUUUUAGGAAGACUCAGAUGUGCUUUCUUUUUUAUCAUAUAUUCCUCUUGGCAGCCACUGCUUUCUGCUCAGCUUCCUCAGCAUCUCAGUUACUUCCACCUACAAAUCAGCAAAAGCUUCUAGGAGGGAAGCGGCUCAGGCUAUCAAGCUCACCUCCAGGCCUUUCUCCUCUCACUUACAUCCUGGCCUCUUAACUCCUGGACUACCUUGAUAGCUCAUUGUUGUCUUCCAGCAGAAUUCUUUGUUUUGUUUUGUUUUAGUACUGGGGAAUUGAACACAGGGCCUUUGCACUGAACUAAAUUCCCAACUCUUUUUUGUUUUUGUUUUUGGUACCAGGGAUCGAACUCAGGUCCUUGCGCUUGUGCAGCAGGCAGUGAAACCACUGAGCUAAAUCCCUGGCCCCGCAACUCUUUUUAUUUUUAGAAAAGUUCUCCCUAAAUAGCUAAACUUCCAAGGCUGGGGGUCAUAGGUGACCCCCACCAUGUCUGCUAAAUUUUGCUUGUUCACAGUACAAAAAUUUUUCUUUUCAGUACCGGAAUCAAACUCAGGACCUUGCAAUUGGCAGGCAACCACAGUACCACUGAGCUACAUCCCUGGCCCCUAUAGUUGCAAAUUUUCUAGCUACUACCAAUAGGAGGGUUUGAUAGAAGUGGAUACAUUCCUAUCUAGUAUGAGACCACACAACGUCCUCUGAAGGGGGCAUUUCUGACUAUGAAAGGGGGCACUAUUAAUAAUACUGAACCCGGGUAGGGGAUUUAGCUCAGGUGCUUGCCUCAUAAGCGCAAGGUCCUGAGUUCGAUUCCUAGUACCCAAAACAAAACAGUACUGAACCAACAAGCAGUAACUAUGACUCUCAGGCAAACUACAGCUCAUGGACACCCUAAUCAUUGAUAACUUCCUUUUUACUACCAUAAAUACAUAAUUAGGGAAAAUUUCCCUGUUAAGUUUUUUUUAAACUAUGGGAACACAGAUGGGAUGUGUACCAAUUCAGUGCUUCACCUUCUUUGCCCGGCUGGGGGAUCCUAGAAGUGGACCCUGAAAACAUGUGUCCUCUGUCAGCUGGUCGCACCAGUAAGCUUCACCAGAGCAGUGUUAGAGGCUCGCCGAGCAACCUUCUCUGCCUCAGCCCAGUACUUCUCUUCUGGCUCCUACAGCACAGCUGCCAGUGGGCGGCUUCCUGGUGGGGUUUUGCCAGCACCCAGCCCAGCCUGCAGUGGCACCUCAGCCAACUCCUCUGCCACCCACAGGGCCACUGGCACACCCUCCCCCUGGGAGUUCUGGAUCUCAGCCUAGGUGGGGAAGCAGUGGUUGCUUCUUUCUCUCCAUCAACCCUAGAGACAUUGUAAUGGCUGCUCCUUUUAACUCAUUCCUCUAAUCUUCAUUGCCAUUUGCUAGUUAACAAUUCUUUAAACUAGAUUUUUCCUCUUCAAACGGGUGUGUGUCCUGUCUCCUACUGGAUCCUGGCCGAUACACACAUUUGUUCUUUUCCCUUGUCAUUUGAGAACAAAAUCCCUCCAAACAUGGAUAGAGAACCUGGUACUAGGUGGUCACAAAUGUCAUACUUCGACAACACUUACCAUCGCCAGACACUGCUCCAAGACCUUUAUACCUAUUAACUCCAUCCUCACACCAACCCUUGCCACUACUAUGAAGGAAGUAGCAUGAGUGUUCCUUUCACUGAUGAUGAAAUUGUAACACAAGGAAGGGGUAUGAUUCACAAGGAUACCGUAAAGCUCAGAUUCAAAACCAGACCAGGUGGCUGAGAAGUCCAUGCCCUCAUAGUACAUAGAAUGCACUGCUUGUUUUGCCUCCUGUAGAGUGCCCGUCACUGGGAAAUGUUCCUCAGAGGUUACCCUCAAGAGCCCUGACCAGGGCUCACAGAGGCCCCACGCGAUGGUAGCCAAAGGGUCCUUACUUGAAAUAUAGAAAAGAGUAGCUAGAACAAGGGACCACUGGAGAGAUGGAAACUCCAACCCAGGUAUACUGGAGCACCUCAGCCCCUUGAUUCCCUCCUGCAGAGGGCAGGGAUAUUUCACCUGUCGGUGCUGGCAACAACUGGACCAAAAGCUAGUGCCCCAGAUGCAGGAAGGCAGGUCUUAGAGGCUAUGCACAAGGAGAGAGAGUCUUGACAGAAGCAACCAUGGAGUGCUAAAGGUUCAGUAGCCUCGGGUGGUCCCUAGGUCAAAAUCUGAGAGCGAAUAGGAAAGCCAAAAAAAGACAAGCAACUGGAGCAAACCAACCUACAUUCAUGUCUGUGUUCAGCCAACUGGGAGAAUGAGUUUAACAAUUUUCCACAGUCGGUUUGGCCAUUCUUAUGUCUUGGGCUACUUCCUGAUCGGGGCUAUUAGAAAUAACACUGCUAAGACCAAUCUUGAACAAGCCUUUUUGUUUUUAUUUCUCUUGGGUAAAUUCAGGAAUAGAAUUGUUGGAUCAUAAGGUCAGUUUAUGUCGAGUUUCUUUAUAUUUAGCAUUUUUAUGGUGGUAAAUUACACAUAAAAUUUACCACCUUAACCUUUUUUGGUUUUGGUACUGGGGUUA
ensembl:lncRNA